rnacentral:rRNA from 1 species
UCCUGGCUCAGGAUGAACGCUGGCGGCGUGCUUAACACAUGCAAGUCGAACGCUGAAGCUCCCAGCUUGCUGGGGGUGGAUGAGUGGCGAACGGGUGAGUAUCACGUGAGUAACCUGCCCUUGACUCUGGGAUAAGCCCGGGAAACUGGGUCUAAUACUGGAUAGGACUGGCCAUCGCAUGGUGGUUGGUUGAAAGCUUUUGCGGUUUUGGAUAGACUCGCGGCCUAUCAGCUUGUUGGUGGGGUAAUGGCCUACCAAGGCUUUGACGGGUAGCCGGCCUGAGAGGGUGACCGGCCACACUGGGACUGAGACACGGCCCAGACUCCUACGGGAGGCAGCUGUGGGGGAUAUUGCACAAUGGGCGCAAGCCUGAUGCAGCGACGCCGCGUGAGGGAUGACGGCCUUCGGGUUGUAAACCUCUUUCAGUUGGGAAGAAGCCUUUCGGGGUGACGGUACCUUCAGAAGAAGCACCGGCUAACUACGUGCCAGCCGCCGC